rnacentral:rRNA from 1 species
AUUGAACGCUGGCGGCAGGCCUAACACAUGCAAGUCGAGCGAGCGGCGGACGGGUGAGUAAUGUCUGGGAAACUGCCUGAUGGAGGGGGAUAACUACUGGAAACGGUAGCUAAUACCGCAUAACAUCAGAUGUGCCCAAAUGGGAUUAGCUAGUAGGUGGGGUAACGGCUCACCUAGGCGACGUUCCCUAGCUGGUCUGAGAGGAUGACCAGCCAAACUGGACCUGAGUCACGGCCCCGACUCCUACGGGAGGCAGCGGUGGGGAAUAUUGACCAAUGGGCGCAAGCCUGAUGCAGCCCUGCCGCGUGUGUGGAGAGGGCCUUCGGGUUGUAAAGCACUUUCCGCGGGGAGGCGUUACCCGCAGAAGAAGCACCGGCUAACUCCGUGCCAGCAGCCGCGGUAAUAC